rnacentral:rRNA from 1 species
UACGUAGGGCGCAAGCGUUAUCCGGAAUUAUUGGGCGUAAAGAGCUCGUAGGCGGUUUGGCGCGUCUGCCGUGAAAGUCCGGGGCUCAACUCCGGAUCUGCGGUGGGUACGGGCAGACUAGAGUGAUGUAGGGGAGACUGGAAUUCCUGGUGUAGCGGUGAAAUGCGCAGAUAUCAGGAGGAACGCCGAUGGCGAAGGCAGGUCUCUGGGCAUUAACUGACACUGAGAAGCGAAAGCAUGGGGAGCGAACAGG